rnacentral:misc_RNA from 1 species
GAUGAAGAACGUAGCGAAAUGCGAUAACUAGUGUGAAUUGCAGAAUUCCGUGAAUCAUCGAGUCUUUGAACGCACAUUGCGCCCCCUGGUAUUCCGGGGGGCAUGCCUGUCCGAGCGUCAUUGCUGCCCAUCAAGCACGGCUUGUGUGUUGGGUCGUCGUCCCCUCUCCGGGGGGGACGGGCCCCAAAGGCAGCGGCGGCACCGCGUCCGAUCCUCGAGCGUAUGGGGCUUUGUCACCCGCUCUGUAGGCCCGGCCGGAGCUUGCCGAACGCAAAUCAAUCUUUUUCCAGGUUGACCUCGGAUCAGGUAGGGAUACCCGCUGAACUUAAGCAUAUCAAUAAGCGGAGGA